rnacentral:rRNA from 1 species
UACGGGGGGAGCAAGCGUUGUUCGGAUUUACUGGGCGUAAAGGGCGCGUAGGCGGGCUGUCAAGUCUGGGGUGAAAUGCCGCGGCUCAACCGUGGAACUGCCUUAGAUACUGACGGCCUCGAGGGAGGUAGGGGCGUGCGGAACUGUAGGUGGAGCGGUGAAAUGCGUAGAGAUCGGGAGGAACACCAGUGGCGAAGGCGGCUACCUGGACCAGCACUGACACUGAGGCACGAAAGCGUGGGGAGCAAACAGG